GGGGGGACGGAGAAGGCUAUGUUGGCCGGGCGACGGUUGUCCCGGUUUAAGCGUGUAGGCUGGUUUUCCAGGCAAAUCCGGAAAACUAAGGCUGAGGCGUGAUGACGAGGCACUACGGUGCUGAAGCAACAAAUGCCCUGCUUCCAGGAAAAGCCUCUAAGCAUCAGGUAACAUCAAAUCGUACCCCAAACCGACACAGGUGGUCAGGUAGAGAAUACCAAGGCGCUUGAGAGAACUCGGGUGAAGGAACUAGGCAAAAUGGUGCCGUAACUUCGGGAGAAGGCACGCUGAUAUGUAGGUGAAGUCCCUCGCGGAUGGAGCUGAAAUCAGUCGAAGAUACCAGCUGGCUGCAACUGUUUAUUAAAAACACAGCACUGUGCAAACACGAAAGUGGACGUAUACGGUGUGACGCCUGCCCGGUGCCGGAAGGUUAAUUGAUGGGGUCAGCGCAAGCGAAGCUCUUGAUCGAAGCCCCGGUAAACGGCGGCCGUAACUAUAACGGUCCUAAGGUAGCGAAAUUCCUUGUCGGGUAAGUUCCGACCUGCACGAAUGGCGUAAUGAUGGCCAGGCUGUCUCCACCCGAGACUCAGUGAAAUUGAACUCGCUGUGAAGAUGCAGUGUACCCGCGGCAAGACGGAAAGACCCCGUGAACCUUUACUAUAGCUUGACACUGAACAUUGAGCCUUGAUGUGUAGGAUAGGUGGGAGGCUUUGAAGUGUGGACGCCAGUCUGCAUGGAGCCGACCUUGAAAUACCACCCUUUAAUGUUUGAUGUUCUAACGUUGACCCGUAAUCCGGGUUGCGGACAGUGUCUGGUGGGUAGUUUGACUGGGGCGGUCUCCUCCUAAAGAGUAACGGAGGAGCACGAAGGUUGGCUAAUCCUGGUCGGACAUCAGGAGGUUAGUGCAAUGGCAUAAGCCAGCUUGACUGCGAGCGUGACGGCGCGAGCAGGUGCGAAAGCAGGUCAUAGUGAUCCGGUGGUUCUGAAUGGAAGGGCCAUCGCUCAACGGAUAAAAGGUACUCCGGGGAUAACAGGCUGAUACCGCCCAAGAGUUCAUAUCGACGGCGGUGUUUGGCACCUCGAUGUCGGCUCAUCACAUCCUGGGGCUGAAGUAGGUCCCAAGGGUAUGGCUGUUCGCCAUUUAAAGUGGUACGCGAGCUGGGUUUAGAACGUCGUGAGACAGUUCGGUCCCUAUCUGCCGUGGGCGCUGGAGAACUGAGGGGGGCUGCUCCUAGUACGAGAGGACCGGAGUGGACGCAUCACUGGUGUUCGGGUUGUCAUGCCAAUGGCACUGCCCGGUAGCUAAAUGCGGAAGAGAUAAGUGCUGAAAGCAUCUAAGCACGAAACUUGCCCCGAGAUGAGUUCUCCCUGACUCCUUGAGAGUCCUGAAGGAACGUUGAAGACGACGACGUUGAUAGGCCG
rnacentral:rRNA from 1 species